UACGUAGGGUGCAAGCGUUGUCCGGAAUUAUUGGGCGUAAAGAGCUCGUAGGCGGUUUGUCACGUCGGAUGUGAAACCCUGAGGCUCAACCUCAGGCCUGCAUUCGAUACGGGCAGACUAGAAUUCGGCAGGGGAGACUGGAAUUCCUGGUGUAGCGGUGAAAUGCGCAGAUACCAGGAGGAACACCGGUGGCGAAGGCGGGUCUCUGGGCCGAUAUUGACGCUGAGGAGCGAAAGCGUGGGGAGCAAACAGG
rnacentral:rRNA from 1 species